CCCAAGAGAUCGGGAUAACACUUGGAAACAGAUGCUAAUACCGGAUAACAACAGAUGAUGCCUAUCAACUGUUUAAAAGAUGGUUCUGCUAUCACUCUUGGAUGGACCUGCGGUGCAGUAGCUAGUUGGUAGGGUAACGGCCUACCAAGGCGAUGAUGCAUAGCCGAGUUGAGAGACUGAUCGGCCACAUUGGGACUGAGACACGGCCCAAACUCCUACGGGAGGCAGCAGAG
rnacentral:rRNA from 1 species